CAAUAGCGUAUAUUAAAGUUGUUGCGGUUAAAAAGCUCGUAGUUGGAUUUCUGCCGAGGACGACCGGUCCGCCCUCUGGGUGUGUAUCUGGUUUGGCCUGGGCAUCUUCUUGGAGAACGUAGCUGCACUUGACUGUGUGGUGCGGUGUCCAGGACUUUUACUUUGAGGAAAUUAGAGUGUUUCAAGCAGGCACACGCCUUGAAUACAUUAGCAUGGAAUAAUAAGAUAGGACCUCGGUUCUAUUUUGUUGGUUUCUAGGGCUGAGAUAAUGAUUAAUAGGGAUAAUUGGGGGCAUCUGUAUCAACGCGUCAGAGGUGGAAUUCUUGGAUUGCGUUGCGACAAACUACUGCGAAAGCAUUUGCCAAGGAUGUUUUCAUUGA
rnacentral:rRNA from 1 species